rnacentral:lncRNA from 1 species
AGAGAGAGAGAGAGAGAGAGGUGGGGGGACAAGGAUUGAGGUGGUGGUGAUCAUGGAGAGCUUAAAAAGUCGUGAGGAGAAGAAUUUCAUUUGAAACACCACACCAUACCCUCUAGAAAGUUUUUUCAAAUUAAGAACACGUUACGGGAGCUUUAAGCACACCGUCCGGCACCCACCAACAGAAGGCAAGGAUUAAGAAAACAACUCCUCUCCAAACUAGGUAGGACGGAGCUCUUGUUAUUGCUUUAGGCUGGCUCGGUAGGUUGCCCUCCAAGGGUUAAGAAUAAAAAGAGUGACAUAUUCUGCCUUUGGAGGUGGAA